UCCAGAGGGGGCAAGCGUUGUUCGGAAUUACUGGGCGUAAAGGGCGCGUAGGCGGCCUUCUAAGUCGAACGUGAAAUCCCCGGGCUCAACCCGGGAACUGCGUCCGAUACUGGAAGGCUUGAAUCCGGGAGAGGGAUGCGGAAUUCCAGGUGUAGCGGUGAAAUGCGUAGAUAUCUGGAGGAACACCGGUGGCGAAGGCGGCAUCCUGGACCGGUAUUGACGCUGAGGCGCGAAAGCCAGGGGAGCAAACGGG
rnacentral:rRNA from 1 species